AAGUGCUGGGAUUAAAGGCAUACGCCACCACUGCCCGGCUUGAUGACAUGAAAGUUAAGCAUGACUUCUAAUUUGAUGAUCUGCGUCUACGUAAAGGAUAAAGAGGGGAAAGGUCAGAGACUAGAAGGGCUUGGAUGUCUUCUGGGUGGAUGGAAAAAUUGAAAGGACUGAGUUAUGUGCUCUGAAAAAAAAUCAGCUCGUGGAGGACCAAAGUAUCUUUUCUUUUGUGUAAAGAGUGGUGAAGAAGCUGUAACAGGACCAGAAUCUUAAGAGGAUGGAGCCAUGAUCCAGGAGAGGUUCCUGUGUGAUUGAAAACAUGAAUAUAUCUGGGAGUAUGAGUCUAUCAAAAGAAUAAUCUAGACUUGAAUUUAAUGUACAAUUCGGUUUUUAAGUGUUAAAAUUAGAGUCCUAAAGGAAAGUGAAAUCUUAAAAGAUGCUAGGCAAUACCUAAGGCUAUACACACAGAUUACAAGAUAGAAAAGGUGAGAGACACACAGAACUUCCCCUAGCCUUGGAGUUGGGAGACCUUUGGUUUUGAAAGUUUCCUGAGCUAUGGGCUUGCUGUGUAUCCCAGGAUGGCUUCAUACUGUCUUCCUGCAUCAGCCUCCUCUCCCACCUCGAGUACUGGGAUUUUGUUCAGAUUAUAGCUGUCCACUCUCAGGGAUAAAUCAUUUUAGAGUUGGCCUCCGCAUGCUUGUGUGUAACAUGAAAAGAGUUC
ensembl:sense_intronic Gm13380 predicted gene 13380